AUGGACUAACUGUCACGUUACCAGACGGGACAUCGGCGGUGUGCGGACCUGAAACCACACGCAAAGGGCAGUACCUGGUACAACCGGUGAAGGGUGAAAUAGCAGAGAUAUACUGGGGACUAUUGAUACCGGAAAAGCCGGACAAACAGGGUAUUUUGUCCCAGUACUUCAAAUGGAGGCCGUGGAUCUCCCUCCUCGAGCCGUACUUUCCUCCGCCAGACCCCCCACAUGUAACCCUAUUUUAUGAUCGGCAGGGCGAUGAGGUGUAUAGAGAGGGGUUUGGGGAUGUAGUAUGUGGGGACACGUGGCAGGUCGGGUCUAAAUUCAUAUAUGUAGGCCCUGAAGGGGUAGCGGCAGAUGUACAGUUGACAGAGGAGCAGGAUCAGUGGUACAUGAUGGCGGAGGAGUCCGUCCCGUAUGUGGCACUGGCCCUGCAUCCUAAACACCAAGCAAAAGACCUGGGGCCCAUGGUUAAAAGGGCAGUCUAAUGCACUGAUUGGACACUCCCUCAGGCGCCAAACGUAUGGUACUCACACAGCUGUAAGACCUAAAAAUGGUUCACCUGCAUUGACCUGGCUAACACUUUUUUCUGUCUUCCACUAGCAGAGGAACUUCGUGAUAUUUUUUCUUUCACACAUAGGGGUCGACAAUGGCGAUACACGACCUGCUGAUUGCGGCUCCGACGGUGGCCGCCUGCAUCCAAACUACAAUGACGGUCCUCACCAGACUGGCAGAGAAAGGGUUGAAGGUAUCAAAAGAAAAGCUACAGCUGGUAAGCACGCAGGUCUCCUUUCUGGGCAGAGUAAUCUCGCAGAAAGGAGCGGGGCUUUCCCCAGCUCACCGCACAACCAUCCUCCACCAUCCUAAACCCACUACUGUUCAGGAAAUGCUAUCAUUCCUGGGGCUCACGGGGUACAGCCGCAAUUACAUCCCAAACUAUUCAGGGCUCACAGAGCUUCCCCACAAGAGAAAACAAUUUGGCAACAGAGACGAGCAACAGAGACGAGCGGGCUCUGGAGAGGGCCAGACGGUAGAGUAAUACUUCCACCAGCCAUGCGGGGAGAUAAAUUUGCUGAAGCCCAUGGGUUGGGCCAUGUAGGGCCAGCACAGAUGUUAAGGAACUUGUGCCAUUGGUGGCACCCGUUUAUGGUAGACAUGGUACGUAACUACACUAGGACAUGCACCAUCUGCACUCACCACAAUCCAAAACCGACGAUCAAACCUGAGAUGGGGGCAUUCCCCAUGACGACGAGGCCUGGACAAGAGAUAGUGAUAGAUUACACGGACAUGGGGGAAACUGUACGGGGGUGCCGCUACAUGUUAGUGUGUGUGGACAUGUUCACAGGGUGACUAGAAGCCUGGCCAGCUAGAAGGGAGUACAGUCAGACAGUGAUCAAGUGUUUAGUGAACCAGUACAUUCCCAGACACGGCUUCCCAGAGAAAAUUAGGUCAGACAAUGGGACUCACUUUAAGAACAGUGAUUUACAGAAGGUAGAGAGCUUAUUGGGCCUAAAACAUGCUUUUGGCACUGUGUACCAUCCACAGUCCCAGGGAAAGGUAGAAAGGAUGAACCAAAACUUAAAAAACAAGUUGGCUAAGAUAUGUGCACAGACUAAAUUGAACUGGGUAGAUGCACUGCCACUGGCACUCAUGAUGAUUCGAUGCUCGUUAAAUCAGACCACUGGGUUUACCCCAUAUGAGCUGCUGACGGGGAGACAGUUUCUAGGACCAACCGCGGGGCCUGCGGUCCCGGAAGGGGAAAAGUGGCCCAAAGACCACAGAGUGUAUUUUGAUGAAUUGCGAGCUCUCGUUUCAGAAUUCACCAACAGAGUCGGAGAAAGGAGGGACCUGCACCCCCGCUGGACCAGAACCUGCCCCAGGCGGAGUGGGUGUUGCUGAAGGUCAUCAAGCGAAAGUGGUCUGAGCCAAGGUGGACGGGUCCUCAUCAGGUGGUGGAGAGAACGAGUCAUGCGGUCCGCCUGAGGGACAAAGGAGAGACAUGGUACCAUUGGAGCCAGUGUACACCAGCGCAGGAGCCAGGGAGGUCGCUAACGGACCUCAUCCAAACCGGGAAGGAGGAGCUUUCCCCAGUGUGGACGGAAGGAGGACCAGCACCAGCCGGACCGGUGCCAGGAGCGGACCCCAGGACACGGCGGGACUACGAGCGAGAGAAGGAGACAAAGGACAGCGCCAGGGGAAUAGACUCUUAGGGGAAAGAACUGAGGAAUACUGUAACAAAAGGGGGUAUAGGACACAGAGUGGCUACCACUCGUACCAAGAUGACAGGGUUACAGAGAAAGGUCUGGGGAGAUGAUAGUAGAAUGAAAUGAGGGCUUGCCAUGAGAGUGAUCUCUACAGCCAUUGAGAAGGCUCCAGGACCGCCACCAGGGAUGCUGAUGCCUCUACUGGAGCAGCAUGACCUGGGAGAACUGGAGCUUGGCGAAUAGGGGUGAUCUCUCUGGGGAGAGAUCAAAAGGGGGA
ensembl:lncRNA